CCCCCAGGACCCCCCUCGCCCCGCCUCCUCUGACUCCCGUAACCCUGGCAACCAGGCAUCGCCAGCCCAUUGGUCGAUUCCGACACAAAGCAUUCGCCCCCGGCCGCACCCUGCCCCGCGACACACACCUCAGCAUCGUCCCCUACCACCGUCGCCUGACUCCUGGACCUCACCCUCCACACUUCCCCGUCCACAUCCAGUGAACCCAAAAUGCUUCGGUUUCCACAGUAGAGUCUGGUCACAAAGAGGUAGCUUGUUCUCAGCAUCCGGGCUCCAGAAGGAAAGGCCCAGACAUCCCAAUGAUAGAUCCAAGAUUCUCCAAGGCAGGAGUGUGUAAGUCCUCUGAGGGAGAGAUGGUGCCUAGAGAUCCAUAGGAUCCUAGAAUGUGAGAUGGAAGAGAAGGUAAAGGGCAUCUAAUUCAAGUCCCUCAUUUUACAACUGAGGAAAAUGAGACCCACAGAUUAGUGGUAAGGUCAAACAGAAGUGUGUAUAUGACAGACUAAGGCGUGAACCCACGUUCUCAACCCCAAAGCUAGUGUUCUUUUCACUGCAUCACAGAUUCAGACACAAAACUUAAAGAUAUAGAUUUCUUUGUAACCCUAGUGUCCAACACAGAGUUGGGUAAAUAGAAAGCACUGCCCCUUUGUGGAAGAGGAGACAGUAAACGAUCCAACCCUGAGCCCUGGAUCUUGAUGAUACACAUCAGCUUCCCAGAAAUGGAUGGUGCAGUAGAAAGAAUCCUGGGGGUAUGUUUGGAGACAGCAAGGAAAGAACCAGUAGAUAAAAAUUGAAGAUUGGUGAGAGGAAAUCUGCUUAAGAAGAUGAAAAAGAAUCAAAUCAAAGUCAAAGCACCACUCUCCUUGGCAGAGAAAAUAGAAACCAAACAAUAAUUGGUUAUAUAUACCCUCUCUCUAUCUGGCAUCAUCCAUCCCCAAACAGGGGUCCUAUUCCUUUUUUGAUCUUUUUUUCCCAAUAUACUUUUAUUUGGAAAAAAACACUUUUAUGUUAUUUUCACACCAACCUCAGCUGAUCUUCAACUGUAAUUCUCCUGAUACUUCUUUUCAAGACCAUGUCAUGACUUUCUAUUUCUUUUCCCUUACUCAUCUUUGCUUCCAUCUCCUACACGUCUUUUUAAAAGAUUUUUACUGAUAUUUUUUAUUUUCAUUGCCUACAUUUCCUCUGUAUUAUUACUUCUCCCUUCU